rnacentral:lncRNA from 1 species
GUGAUGGAGGCGACUCAGUGGGUCUCACAAAGUUGUGUGUGGGGCACGGAGGAGUGGUGUGGAAAAGAUGCAUGGCGUUUGAGGCCCAGACUAACAUCUCAAAGGACUCUUCAGGCUCACCAGCAAUUCACCCACAUACUAUGCUUGUUUCUGCUUCUGUAAACUGGGGGAAGUCGUCCCACUAUGGGUGUCUAGUGUGGUGGCUCAUUCUCAAAAUUUUGGCACAUCAGAAGACUGAGGCAGGAGGUUAGAGACCAGUUUGGGCUGCACAGUCAGUUCCCCGCCAACCUGAGCUAAGAGUAAGACAGACCCCUGUCACAACUAAAACUAAAACUAAAAGAAAACAAAAAACAAAAAAACAAAACAAAAAACAGGCUCAGCAAGAUGGCUCAGCGGGUAAAUGCAUUUGCUGCUAAGUGUGACCCCCUGAAUACCCAUUUCCGGGACCCAUAUGCUUCCAGGAAGCAGAGAACUCCUAACUGUCCUCUGGCCUCUACACAUGUUGUGACAUAUGCACACACGGACACACAUGCACAUGCACCGAAUAAGAAAAUAUUAAAAUUUAAAAUUGUUCACAACUAUUCCCAGCAUCCUCCGGCAGUGGUGGGUCGCCCCCGCCGUGAGCGCUGCA